rnacentral:piRNA from 1 species
UAGAAACUUGAUGCUUGAUACCCUGCCAC